rnacentral:rRNA from 1 species
UGGGGAAUAUUGGACAAUGGGCGCAAGCCUGAUCCAGCCAUGCCGCGUGGAUGAAGAAGGCCCUAGGGUUGUAAAGUCCUUUCGGUGGUGAAGAUAAUGACGGUAACCACAGAAGAAGCCCCGGCUAAUUUCGUGCCAGCAGCCGCGGUAAUACGAAAGGGGCUAGCGUUGUUCGGAAUUACUGGGCGUAAAGCGCACGUAGGCGGAUCAGCAAGUCAGGGGUGAAAUCCCGGGGCUCAACCUCGGAACUGCCUCUGAUACUGCUGGUCUGGAGUCCGGAAGAGGUGGGUGGAAUUCCUAGUGUAGAGGUGAAAUUCGCAGAUAUUAGGAAGAACACCGGUGGCGAAGGCGGCCCACUGGUCCGGUACUGACGCUGAGGUGCGAAAGCGUGGGGAGCAAACAGGAUUAGAUACCCAAGUAGUCCCUGAGCGGGCUGGCAAGGCGCAU